CUCGCGUCUUCCCCCGUCUCGUUGGAAUCCUCGCCAUCUUCCUGAAACCCCAAGCUUCGAUCUCGCCGUCAGCCGACCGACUCGGCUCAAGGUAUUUCGUUCCUGCAUCAGCGGCGAGGAUGGGCGCCGAGAGGAAGUGAUGGAGCAUGCGAUUCUCGAGAUUUGCCUCAGGUUCGACGAGCUUUACAGGUCAGUUCAAUGGCAUAUGAUCUUGCACCCUGCUGCCAAUUUAAUCAGUUUUGAUGUUUGCUAGAUUGCUGGAGCAAUUUAUUUAUGGUUGCAGAUGAACUCAGAAACUAUGGUGAAAGAUUACAAAGUCCAUCUACGUACAUGCACCUACAAUGCACGUUAUAUUGGAUGGUGGAUUUUGAUUGUGUCCCGCAAUGACAAUGUUUUCUCAGCUGCCAAAAUAAAAUUUACCUAAGUUUAUUGCUUACAUUGACUCGCUUCAGUGAUAAUGUUUUGUUAGCCACCUGAAUGAUCUUUUACCUGAGGGUAUUGCCUUGCAUCGACUCUCUUCAGACCUGUACUGGUAGGAGUCUUGUGCACUGGACCAACCUUAGUAUAGACAAGUUCAUUAGUGCUUUGUAGUGGAGGAUCGACAUCAAUGGGACUAAGUAAUAGCAGAUCUUCUAGGGUUAUUGAGAUCUUAAACAAGAGAACAUAUACUCAAUUCCCAGGAGAUGGACAUUUCUCAGAACAAUGCAAUCAUGGUCUUGGAGAAAGUGGCAGGUUAAAUUCUAAAAUGAAACAUAUUGGUAGCUUGGGACAGAGGUCAGAGUCACCCAUGUGAGAGCAUUCACAAAAAUCCAACGUUUGUUGCCAACUCCAUUCAAUGAAGGCUUUUAAUUUUUGGUUCAGUGGGGAUCUGCUAACCUCUGUAACCUCCACAUGCAUCAACAACAUGCUCACUUUGCAGAAAAGCUGAUCAUUUGCCAUUACAUCAUUGUCAAGCAACACAAAAUUCCCCCAUCAUGUUGACUUUUACAAAGGUUAGUGCUUGACAAGAACCUUGAAGGGAAACAAGCUUUAUUUUCUGCCGCAAGAGUUCCAAGGAAGAGAAGCAGGCCAGCAAAUCACUCCAUCGAUUGCAGAAUGGCUUGGAAUUAAAGAAGAGUCGUCUGUGUCCACCAUGAUCCAUAUGGUCCAACCCUAUGUGAUUUCUGAGGACUAAGUGCUCUGAAGCUGCUUAAUGAUCAGCUAAUGGAAUAAAGAGGACAGGGACAGAAAGGUAGAAGAAUCAGGAACCAAACUUCAAGUAAUUGGUGGCUCUCCUUGGCUCAUCUAGAUUACGAGAUAAAGAGCAUGAUUCAUGAUCUUUCAUUGCUCUAAAAAGUAUAUUUCCAUAGAUAGCGAGGACGAACACGAGGAUUUCCUAAGACAUUGCCGGGUGCUCCGGCAGGGGAUGGGGUUUUAUCAGCUUUGACCAGAGAAGAGGACGGGAUAAGGAACUCCAGGUACCAAAGUGCUGAAGAUUGAAUUUUGAAGCAAGAAACAGAAUCAUGGAGCUCAAAAAGUUCAGCAUCAGCAACAUUGGAACAAGCUAAGCAGCAGGAAAAAAGGCAGCGGUGCCUGAGCCUGAAUGGGGAAAUAGAAGAAACAUCCUCAUCACGACAAGUAGGCAUGCACUGGAACAUCUACUACCUUACAUGACAAAAUCCAAGAGAUGGAUGCUGCCUUCAAGGAAAGAACUAAGUUGUUACUGACAUGUUUGAAGAUUUCAGCAGAGUCUUGAGAGAAGUUAAUUCAUAGACAAGAUGGUUUCAGAGGAGAUGUAAGGGUGACAACGCACUCAACUCUGUUAUCAUCAACCAUCUUUUGGACUUUGAACAUCACUGCUGUGUACAUGUUCCCUCCAUUCCAUUCCUAUGCUGCAACCUUGAGAUCAGAGCUGUCUAUACUUGGCAGUAAUGAAUGUAGAGACUCACAUGUAAAGUAGGGGGAGUGCAUUAAGUUUGCUGCUUUGGAAAGAAAACAUAUUGUGGUUGAUACUUGCACAAUCCCUUGUUACAGUAAGAAAGCUUAAAGGGCUUUCUUCUC